rnacentral:lncRNA from 1 species
AGGAUGAUUUUUUUCCCUCUUAUUUGACAUUUCUGAAAGUACUCAUUUGCUUCUUGAAAGACAGAAGGGGGAUCAAAUGUUUACUGCCUGAAGACAUUAUCACUGAAAGACAGUUAUUAAGAUGUUGCUCCUGGACUUGUUUAUUUUGGGAAAUAAUACUGACAGGAAUGACGGCACUUUGGAAGAUGGAGAAAGGACAUCACCCAAGGGGCACUGAGUACUUGCAGCACCUGGUGUAAAGGUGCUCACACUGAACCAUCAUAGAAAGCAACAAAUGUGCACCCUUUUCAAGGUUCUUCUAUGAAAAAUGUGAGGCUGGUUCUGCAUAUAAAAAAUUAAGAAAUGAGACAUGUAGAAGAGUAAAUAAAUACUUACUGAGAUGUAUGUAUGAGGAAAAUUCAAAGAGCCAAAUUGCAGGUAAACUAAGGGUACAGUAAACAAUUACUAGGAGCUCAAAACUUAUUAUGGG